rnacentral:rRNA from 1 species
UGGGGAAUCUUCCGCAAUGGGCGCAAGCCUGACGGAGCAACGCCGCGUGAAUGAAGAAGGCCUUCGGGUCGUAAAGUUCUGUCUUUAGGGACGAAUGCACGAUUGCGAAUAGUUGUUGUGUUGACGGUACCUGAGGAGGAAGCUCCGGCUAACUACGUGCCAGCAGCCGCGGUAAUACGUAGGGAGCAAGCGUUGUCCGGAAUUACUGGGCGUAAAGGGCGCGUAGGUGGACAUUUAAGUCAGAUGUGAAAACUCUGGGCUCAACUUGGAGAUUGCAUUUGAAACUGGACGUCUUGAGGGUAGGAGAGGAAAGUGGAAUUCCUAGUGUAGCGGUGAAAUGCGUAGAUAUUAGGAGGAACACCAGUGGCGAAGGCGACUUUCUGGACUAUACCUGACACUGAGGCGCGAAAGCGUGGGGAGCGAACGGG